GGGCUUGAGCCCCUCCUGGUAGUGCUCCUCGGCCUCCUGGUCUAGCGCCUGGACCAGGUGCCCUAGCACAGAGUCAGGAUCUCUUGGACCUGCCAAGGAAGCGCUGCCCAUGUGAGCAGACAGGGGGCUCCCAGGGGCUUCUGAGGGUCCUGUCUGACCUUGGCCUG